UACGGGGGGGGUAAGCGUUGUUCGGAAUUACUGGGCGUAAAGGGCGCGUAGGCGGCCUUCUAAGUCAGACGUGAAAUCCCCGGGCUCAACCCGGGAACUGCGUCUGAUACUGGAGGGCUUGAAUCCGGGAGAGGGAUGUGGAAUUCCAGGUGUAGCGGUGAAAUGCGUAGAUAUCUGGAGGAACACCGGUGGCGAAGGCGGCAUCCUGGACCGGUAUUGACGCUGAGGCGCGAAAGCCAGGGGAGCAAACGGG
rnacentral:rRNA from 1 species